rnacentral:tRNA from 1 species
GGCUCAGUUGGUACAGCAUGGUGUUUGCAACGCCAGGGUUGUGGGUUCAAUUCCCAC